rnacentral:lncRNA from 1 species
CUUUCGUAUUUGUCAAUCAACUUUUUUAUUGUUUGUAAUGUGUAUUUCAAAUUAAGUUGAACAUGAAUUAAAAACACUCAAUUAAAUUGAAAGAACAUUUUAUAGUAUUACUAAAAUAAUACUCUGAACAUUAUUGAACAAUAAUAAUAGAAAUUUUCCUAUCAAAAGAAUAAAAAAAGGUUACAACCAUUUGUAACUAUUUACAUUUGAAGCAAAUAUUAAUUGAGUGGUUAUAGCCACUUUUUAUAAUCACAUUAACCUUUAACUUUAAGAGAAAUGUGCAACAUUUUCAGUAAAAGUUGAAGGUCCAAAGAGUUGAAUAAACGAUAUAUUCUUUCACAUGAAAGUUAACAUUUAAGUAAAAGUAUUCAAAUGUAAAAACAAAGUAUCUAGAUACCUUAUAGGAAAAAUUUGAUAAAUAAACUUUUCAAUAAGUAAUUAAAUUAGAUAGAUUAGUUUCUACAAUUAUGGUGCACAAUACUAUAUAAUAUUUAUUUAUCAAACUAAUUCAAUAAAUGAUCUGUUUUCAUAUUGGUUAUCUCCAAAGUACACAAACACCUUAUAUAAAUGUGAAUCACUUAUCCACAAAUUGGAAAUGGAAUCUCUACAUGAUUCAAGUAUUCAGUUAAAUAUAAAUGUCAACCUUCAAUUAUGUAAUUAACUAAUACAAUUGAUUGUGAAUGGUUAAGAGAAACAACUAAAAACAUAGAAAAUGAACUAAUGUAAAACAAAUAAACCAAGAACACCUUAUGUGAUUAAUUUCACAACAUAACAUCAAAUUCUCCAUAACAAAAGUGAGUUGUUAUUCAUUUUUUAUGGUGAGAUUUGAAGUAGAGUUUAACUUUUUUUAGGACACAUUAACUUUUUCAACUCUACAUCAUAUUAUUCAGUCCAACAUGAGAAACAUCAAUCUAACAUUAAAAUAGAAUCCUUCUUCUUCAUUGGAGUAUAUAUCAUAAUCAAAACUUGAACUCCAAACACCAAAUAAAAAGUGGAAAAAAAGAAAAAUAGAAAGAAAAAAAAAAAAAAAAAAGAAAUACCUAAGGCUCGAAGAUAACAUAUUUCACAAUGCCACGUCCACUUAGUUUGCAAAUCCUUCAAUUUACAUAUAACAUUUUAUUCCUAUUCACAUUGGUAGAAGCACAUCUAUAUAGUGUCUGAUUCCUAUGCACAUAGGUAGAAGCACAAUGUAAGUGAAGAUGAAAAAGAUAGUAAGAGUAUCUAGGCAUAAAACUUAACCAAAAGUAAGUAAAUUAUACAUACAUGAGGUAGAAUGCAUAUAAAUACAAUAUUUAGUGCAUAUAUGACAUUUAUUAAUACAUCUCAAAAACAGGUUGAAAGAUUGAAUGAGGGAGAAUUAGAUGAAAGGAGUAGAUGUUAUGAAUAAUAUGGAGGCUUAACUUUUGACAUGUUGUCUGCAAUCCAACCACAUUCUCUGCACAAUGUCAAACUGUUUCCAUCAAUGUUUUAUAUGAUGUAGAACUGUCAGGGAAAUUACCGGUAGUUAAAAUGGAGAGUACUUACAUGUAAGAUUCCUAUAAGUUUAAAUUAAGAUUGUGGAAAUAAGAAAAGAUAGAAAUUCUUAAACAAAUAAUUUCUAACGUGAACCUUAAAAAUUGAAUCAAUGUGCUUGGAAUAGAGACAUGCAUUGUAUUAUGUCACCUUAUUAUUAAUGACUGCAACAUUAGAUUGAGUUGAUAAUCAUAUGAAUUGUCUAAAUGGUGAUGAAAGAAUCUCGUUCAAAGUUGAAAUUAAAUUAGUUAAUAAAUAUGAACAUAGAGUUUAGAAGAAAAAUCAUGUUUGUUUGAUUGAAACAUUUCAUCAAAUAGGUUUUGCUCAUAACUAUGAAUGCAAAAUAGAUGAUUAUAAAAAAUUGGGGAAACAAAGAGGUACCAUAUUGUAGCAAAGAUGUUUUUCCAAAUCCAGGUAUUUCAGCAUCAAGUAGAAAUAAAAAUUCAAAUAGAUCUUUAUACUCUUAAGAGUGUGAAUGAAAGUGGAAAUGGAAAAGGGAAUGAUUUAAAGACAAUAUGAACAUAAAAAUUGAUUUUUUACCUAUCUUUUUGCAUAACCAAUUUUCAUCCGUGAUUAACUUCAGAUGGUGUCUUUGCCACAAUUGACAAUGCAUGUGAUCCAUAUUACAAUGUGAAAGGAAAUGUAUCGGUGAUGAAUGGUUAAUGUCAGGAAGAGUGUCGUGAUGGAAUUACAUACACCUAUUAGUAGAAAAUUAUCCCCUUAAUAACAACAGAGAGAUAAAGCGAACCAGAAUAAGGUAAGGUGUAAUUAAGGGGUAAGAAGAAGAACCUAGGAAAAAUGAAAAGAGAAUUGAGUGUGAAAUUGGGUAAAAAGAGUAACAGAUGGUUUGAGAUUUGGGUGUGGGAGAUAAUGUGGAAGUUACUUGAGAGAUGGUCAAAUUUGG